UUUGGAUUAAUAGUCCAUGUCUAAAAACACUGAUAUGUCAUGGCCUGCACCAAAAAUAUUACCUCUAUCUUUUUUAAUUCAAUAAACAAAGUGCCGGAUUGAAUUUUUGUCAUCCACACAAAAAUUCGGCAUUUAUCUAUGCUCUAUUCACUGAGACCCCUGCUGACCCUGCUCGUAGAACACAGUGCGCAACACUGACCGCCGGUCAUUUAGAUGAAGAUGUCAGAGGAGAAGAGAUCAACACGUGGGAGAAAGCGAACUUUAACCGAUUCAGCCAGAAAACGACACAGGAGCCUGGUUGUUUCGAAAUAUAAUCAAGGAAGAAUAGCUUUAGGUGAGCAGUAUGAUCGGUGGAUGGAACUUAAGGAGACUUUGCAGCUAAAAUCACAUGCUGAUGUUGCAGAGUAAUUGCUUGAUCGAAAUGAAAACUUGGCAGUAGAAAACUCUGCAAAGAAAAUGAAAAUCCAGUUGAAUGCUAAAACAUCAACUCCAGGACCUAGAGCUACAAUUUUUUCACCAAAUUUCUCAGAUGUUUCUGAAAUUUCUUCAGACCAGGAAAAGAAGAACAGAAACUCAGAUUUAUCCGGUGUUGAAGAAUUCAACAGAAUUGAUAAAAUACAGAAAACUUUAAACAGUUUUUUAAAUCCUU